rnacentral:pre_miRNA from 1 species
CAUGAGAUAGCUGGGUAAAAUGGUGGAUCCAUUCCAAAUUUUCUGAGGUAUCUCUGUGCUGCUUUCCAGAGUGGUUGCACCAUUUGCAGUCCCACAAGCAAU